CCGGGACCAUCCGGUAAGGCUAAAUACUCCCGAGAGACCGAUAGCGAACCAGUACUGUGAAGGAAAGGUGAAAAGCACUUCGAAUAGAAGAGUGAAAUAGUCCCUGAAACCGUGCGCCUACAAGCGGUCGGAGCAGCUUUUUGUUGUGACGGCGUGCCUUUUGCAUAAUGAACCUACGAGUUACUUUUUCCGGCAAGGUUAAGCGUCUCAAGACGUGCAGCCGAAGCGAAAGCGAGUCUGAACAGGGCGUUAUAGUCGGAAGGAGUAGACGCGAAACCAAGUGAUCUACCCUUGGGCAGGUUGAAGGUUAGGUAACACUAACUGGAGGACCGAACCGAUAAGCGUUGAAAAGCUUCCGGAUGACCUGAGGGUGGGGGUGAAAGGCUAAUCAAACUUGGAGAUAGCUCGUACUCCCCGAAAUGCAUUUAGGUGCAGCCUUGCGGGUUACUGAUGUGAGGUAGAGCGACUGAUAAGAUGCGAGGGCUUCACCGCCUAUCAAGUCUUGACAAACUCCGAAUGCGUGUCAGUUCUAUGUCAGGAGUGAGGGCAUGGGUGCUAAGGUCCAUGUCCUAAAGGAGAACAAUCCGGACCAACAGCUAAGGUCCCUAAAUAAAUACUAAGUUGAACUAACGAAGUCAGAUUGCUAAGACAGCUAGGAUGUUGGCUUGGAAGCAGCCAUUCAUUUAAAGAGUGCGUAACAGCUCACUAGUCGAGGAGUUUGGCGUGGAUAAUAAUCGGGCAUUAAGCAAUUUACCGAAGCUAUGGGAUCAGUAAUGAUCGGUAGGGGAGCAUUCCACUCAGCGUCGAAGGUGAAGCGUGAGCUUUGCUGGAGCGUGUGGAAAAGCAAAUGUAGGUAUAAGUAACGAUAAAGGGGGUGAGAAACCCCCUCGCCGAAAGACUAAGGUUUCCUGAUCAACGCUAAUCGGAUCAGGGUUAGUCGGGUCCUAAGGCUCAGCCGAACGGUGAUGCCGAUGGCAGAACAGGUUAAUAUUCCUGUACUACCUUUAGGAGUGACGUGGAGACGGAGGCGUGACAGCGCCGCGAACUGACGGAAUAGUUCGUUGAAGGGUGUAGAUGUUGAUUGCGGCAGGCAAAUCCACCGCAAGAGUCGAACCUGAUAGUAUGGAGCGUUCUUCUGAACAAUCCAAUAGUGCGUGUAAACAUACUCCCAAGAAAAUCCGCUAAACUUAAUCUUAAAGGUACCCGUACCGUAAACGGACACACGUAGUCGGGUUGAAUAUACUAAGGCGCUUGAGUGAAUCACGGUUAAGGAACUAGGCAAAUUGACCCUGUAACUUCGGGAUAAAGGGUCCCCGUCAGUGAUGGCGGGGCGCAGAGAAUAGGUCCAGGCAACUGUUUAACAAAAACACAGGGCUGUGCAAAAUUGAAAGAUCACGUAUACAGCCUGACACCUGCCCGGUGCUGGAAGGUUAAGAGGAGAUGUCAUCGCAAGAGAAGCAUUGAAUUGAAGCCCCAGUAAACGGCGGCCGUAACUAUAACGGUCCUAAGGUAGCGAAAUUCCUUGUCGGGUAAGUUCCGACCUGCACGAAUGGUGUAAUGAUCUGGACACUGUCUCAACCGUGAGCUCAGUGAAAUUGUAGUAUCGGUGAAGAUGCCGAUUACCCGCGAUGGGACGAAAAGACCCCGUGAACCUUUACUAUAGCUUAACAUUGAAUUUGGGUAAUUGAUGUGUAGGAUAGGCCGGAGACUUUGAAGCAGGUACGCCAGUAUUUGUGGAGUCGCUGUUGAAAUACGGCCCUUUGAUUAUUUGAGUUCUAACUCGUUGUUACGAGGACACUGUUUGGUGGGUAGUUUGACUGGGGUGGUCGCCUCCAAAAGUGUAACGGAGGCUUCUAAAGGUGCCCUCACGCCGAUUGGUAACCGGCGGUAGAGUGUAAUGGCAUAAGGGCGCUUGACUGGGAGACUAACAAGUCGAUCAGG
rnacentral:rRNA from 1 species